CGGCGUGCCUAAUACAUGCAAGUCGAGCGAUGAGGCUCCUUCGGGAGUCAUCAGCGGCGAACGGGUGAGUAACACGUAGGUGACUUGCCCCGAAGAUGGGGAUAACCGCGGGAAGCGGGGGCUAAUACCCAAUGUGCUCGGUGAUUCGGUUGAUCGAGUAAAGCUCCGGCGCUUCGGGAGAGGCCUGCGGCCCAUCAGCUAGUUGGUAGGGUAACGGCCUACCAAGGCAGAGACGGGUAGGGGGCGUGAGAGCGCGGACCCCCACACUGGCACUGCGACACGGGCCAGACUCCUACGGGAGGCAGCAGUAAGGAAUAUUGCGCAAUGGACGAAAGUCAGACGCAGCGACGCCGCGUGGGCGAUGAAGGCCUUCGGGUUGUAAAGCCCUUUUAUGGGGGAAGAGAAAAAGGACGGUACCCCAUGAAUAAGUCCCGGCUAACUACGUGCCAGCAGCCGCGGUAAAACGUAGGGGACAAGCGUUAUCCGGAUUCACUGGGCGUAAAGAGCGUUGAGGCGGUUCCGUAAGUUGGGCGUGAAAGCUCCGGGCUUAACCCGGAGAUGUCGUUCAAUACUGCGGGGCUUGAGGACAGCAGAGGAAGGUGGAAUUCCCGGUGUAGUGGUGAAAUGCGUAGAUAUCGGGAGGAACACCCGUGGCGAAGGCGGCCUUCUGGGCUGUUCCUGACGCUGAAGGCGAAAGCUAGGGGAGCGAACGGGAUUAGAUACCCCGGUAGUCCUAGCUGUAAACGAUGGAUGCUGGGUGUGGGGGGUGUAAAUUCCCUCUGUGCCGAAGCAAACGCGUUAAGCAUCCCGCCUGGGGACUACGGCCGCAAGGCUAAAACUCAAACGAAUUGACGGGGGCCCGCACAAGCAGCGGAGCGUGUGGUUUAAUUCGAUGCUACACGAAGAACCUUACCUGGGUUUGACAUGCACGUGGUAGGGAACCGAAAGGGGACCGACCUUCGGGAGCGUGCACAGGUGCUGCAUGGCUGUCGUCAGCUCGUGCCGUGAGGUGUCGGGUUAAGUCCCGUAACGAGCGCAACCCUUGCCCUUAGUUACAAGUGUCUAAGGGGACUGCCCGGGACAACUGGGAGGAAGGUGGGGAUGACGUCAAGUCAGCAUGGCCUUUAUAUCC
rnacentral:rRNA from 1 species